rnacentral:rRNA from 1 species
AUUGAACGCUGGCGGCAGGCCUAACACAUGCAAGUCGAGCGAGCGGCGGACGGGUGAGUAAUAUCUGGGGAACUGCCUGUGGGAGGGGGGUAACUCCUGGAAACGGUAUCUAAUACCCCAUACCAUCAGAUGUGCCCAGGUGGGAUUAGCUCGUAGGUGGGGUAACGGCUCACCUAGGCGACGAUCCCUAGCUGGUCUGAGAGGAUGACCAGCCACACUGGAACUGAGACACGGUCCAGACUCCUACGGGAGGCAGCAGUGGGGAAUAUUGCACAAUGGGCGCAAGCCUGAUGCAGCCAUGCCGCGUGUAUGAAGAAGGCCUUCGGGUUGUAAAGUACUUUCAGCGGGGAGGCGUUACCCGCAGAAGAAGCACCGGCUAACUCCGUGCCAGCAGCCGCGGUAAUAC